UUCUACUUCAAUCCCCUUCAAUUUUUUAUUCUUUAACCAUAUCUGAAUACAUUCACAAGAGAAAUGUCGAUUUAAUUUUUUCAGCAGUCGCACCUCCGAUAAAGAUCCGACUUUGGAAUAUAGAAUCGUUUGAACGUCAUAAUCGGACGUUGAACCGUUGGUUAGAUGGAGAAAUUGAAGAUGAUGAAAGGAUUAGAAGAAUUCAAUGGCUUGAGUCCACGUUCAACCAAAAUGGAGAAGUGUGUGUAUGGAUGGAUAUUAAGACUGACAGAGACAUAUGAUGAACAUCGUCAUCAUCUCGAAUCUUCAACCGAUAAAACUUUACUUGGUUGUCUGCAGACCACACCAUAUUUUUAUAGAUGAUUUGGCCCACCUGACUACACUGCAAUUUCAUUUCUAUUCUUUCUUUCAAAUGUAAAAAUUUUGAUCGUUGAUUUAUUGUAAACCGAGUUACUUCUGUGUUGCGAAAACAAAAACUGAAUAAUUGAUGCUCAAAUAUUUCACCUUCGGUAUGGGCACUGAUCAUGUAAUGUGGUGAGGAAGACAUUUUUUUAAAUGUAAGUUUAGUGUAUGUAUUGAUCAUGUAAUGUGGUGAAUACAUUGAUAUGUUAUUCGUAUGCAGUUAAAUAGGGGAGACAGUGUAUGUACUGAUUAUGCAAUUAAUCUGCAAAGACAAGACAAUACAAUGCAAAGAAUUCACGCAGAGACAAGACAAUGCAAAGCAUGCGCCUACAAAGAAUCUCUGACCUAAUAAUCCAACACUAGAAGCAUGCGCCUGCAAAUAAGAUGCCCAUGCCCUAAUAAUCCAAGGUAGGCGCCCUUUUAAAUGGCGCAUAAAAAGGCAUGCAAACGCCACUAGUCUUGCCGCAUAUGACAAUGCAUGUCUUAAACAAAGCAUGCGCCCUAGCCUUAGGCACCUACACCUAUCCUCACAUGCAUGCGCCCUAUCAAAUGCUUCACAUGCUGCAUAGCUAUUCACAUGCUGCAACAUUAUCUCAUCUAUAAAUAGGGCAACAACUCACAACACUCAACAUCUGCAAUACUAACGAUCAAACUUUACAACACUCAACCUUUACAACACUCAACCUCUGCAACACUCAACCUCUACAAUAUUAUGUCUCUAUUGACUACGGGUGAUGAACAUGGACGAACAAUCAACAAUAUUGCGAUGUUUGUAUGUUAUUACUUCUUCUUACUCAUGGAGCAUACUUAUUUCUUACUUAUGUUUCUAUUGUUUAUUACUUCUUCUUACUUUAUUUCUUACUUAUGUUUUAUUAGGAUCCAAAAUGAUUCUGAUGCCGUGUAUAUGAAUAUGUACCCCGCGAUCCUUUGAUAGAACCAUAUAUUUAAGGAUGCGGUUUUGGUAAUCUCCUCAACAUAGUCUCAUACUCGGUUGACUACAAACUUAUUCUUGCUUUGUUGGAGAGAUGGAGACCCGUGAUCCACACAUUUCACCUUCCUUUCGGUGAGUGUACUGUCACACUUGGGGACGUCUACAUGUUGUUGGAUCUACGUAUCGAGGGUAAGGUCGUAAAUGGUAGAGUUAACCAUGAUAACUCUAUUUUCAAUGAAUUUUUGGGUUCCCCUUUAUGUGACGACCAAGAUACAGGAGAGAUUUCUGGUCAAACUAGGGGUUAAGGUAUUAACUUAAAAUAUCUCAAACAAUAUUAUGCGAAUAUAACAUUGACCGAAGAAUCUACUGAGUAUGAAAAAAUAAUUAAAGCUCAGUGUUAUAUUAUGAUUCUAUUCGGUAAUUUUUUAUUUCCCGAAAAUACUGGUAAUACGGUAAAUAUUAUGUAUUACCAUUGUUAGGAAACAUAAAUAAGGUAAGCACAUAUAGUUGGAGUUCAUCUGUUUUGGCCCGUCUAUAUAGUGCGUUGUGUCAAAUUCCAAAAAAAAUAGUUGUACGUUUUAUUCAUGUGCAUAUUUUCUACAAGCAUGAGGUUGGUCAAGAAUGUCGUCACUCGCCCCAGUAAACGAGAAGUCAUUCAUAUUCCCCUAUGCAACAAAGUGGUUAGUUAAAGGGAUGAACUACAGCAGGUGUCUGAAACACAUUGUAGUAGUCUAUCUCAAUCUAUUGAACCACAUUAGACCAGACGAUUUUAUCUAUAUGCCAUAUCUGGGUCUUGAUCAUCAGGUUAACCAUGAUGAUGGUGUAGUUUGGACAGCAAAAACACCAAUUAUCCGGUUCACUACUGUGGAUAUGCACCAGAGUAACCGAGUAAAACUGCAGCUCGACAUGCAUAAACAAAUUAUAGAACCUCCGUCGUGUUUGGGAGAUUGACAUCAACAAAGAGUCGAUGCCCAAUGGGAUUAUUCCGAAUUGAGAGACUUUGCAAAGAGAUGUGUCUUCAUUGGAGGAAUCGACGACAACACAUCUUAAACGAGCCAGUCAUACAGGGUGCUAGACCAACUCAAUAGUAUAUGGCAUGGUUUAAGUCGAUUAUAAUGCCACAAUUUAUGUCUGAGCCAAGGUAUUUGAUUGAUCCACACCAACUAGCUUCGUCAUCAUACGCCCAACAACAAAUCCCCGUCCAAGAACAAUGUCAACCCACCCAAACCCAACGACCAACCUCACAUCAUCACCCUACCAUAUACACCCAACAACCAAACACCCAAUCUCACAACCAAUUCAUGCCACACACCCAACCUCAAAACCAAGAAGCAAACCUUACCCACCAACAACCAUACACAACCACCACAACAGUCUAUAACCCAGAUGAUUCAUAGGAUUCAUGCAAUCAUAGCCCCCCCCCCCCCCCCUCCAAUGACCACCUAAGCAUCCCAUCGGCAUAACACUCAACCAUUGUUUGACUAUAGUACAUCCCAGGAACCAUUGAUUUAUUUCCAAACCGAUUCAAUGUCCCGAUUCGGGCAACCAUACCAUCCAUAAUUCACCCAACCAAAACGACCUAACUACGACAACAUGGGCACCGAACUCAAUUACGGUAGCACCGUUGGCGAAAACCCCCCAGCUAUUGGGGACAAAUGAUGACACAUCUAUCAAAUACUGUUGGAUCUUCCAUCAGACCUUCAUACCAGCCACCAUUGGAUCAUGUCACCAUACAAAGACCCCAAACACCUCGGGAAAAUUGUGGGAGACCUCGAAGACAGACUAACGUACAUGGAUGUGGAACAGGGGGGCAUUUCAAUCUGGUGGAUCAUUGAAUUUCUUGUCAAUUCCAUGUAACUUUUCAUUAUAAUAUAAAUAUAAUUUUUAUUUUCA